GACGAACGCUGGCGGCGUGCUUAACACAUGCAAGUCGAACGGUGAGGCCCUGCUUUUGUGGGGUGCUCGAGUGGCGAACGGGUGAGUAACACGAGAGUAACCUGCCCUUGACUUUGGGAUAACUUCAGGAAACUGGGGCUAAUCCAGGAUAGGAGCUCCUGCUGCAUGGUGGGGGUUGGAAAGUUUCGGCGGUUGGGGAUGGACUCGCGGCUUAUCAGCUUGUUGGUGGGGUUGUGGCUUACCAAGGCUUUGACGGGUAGCCGGCCUGAGAGGGUGACCGGCCACAUUGGGACUGAGAUACGGCCCAGACGCCUACGGGAGGGAGCAGUGGGGAAUAUUGCACAAUGGGCGGAAGCCUGGUGCAGCAACGCCGCGUGCGGGAUGACGGCCUUCGGGUUGUAAACCGCUUUCGCCUGUGACGAAGCGUGAGUGACGGUAAUGGGUUAAGAAGCACCGGCUAACUACGUG
rnacentral:rRNA from 1 species